rnacentral:rRNA from 1 species
AAAGUAUCGGUAGGGGAGCAUACUCACAGCGUCGAAUGGUGUACGUAAGUUAUCCUGGAGCGGUGAGUAAAGCAAAUGUAGGAAUAAGUAACGAUAAGGAGGGUUAGAUUCCCUCCCGCUGUAAGACCAAGGUUUCCCGGGCAAUGCCAAUCAGCCCGGGGUCAGUCGGGUCCUAAGUCUAAGCCGAACGGCGAUGGCGAUGGCAGAGACGGUUAAUAUUCCGUCACUGCCGCAUGGGGCGACGUGGAGACGGAGCAGUGAAACCACCGCGGGGCGACGGAAGUCCCCGUUGAAGAGUGUAGGUGUUGAGGAUGGCAGGCAAAUCCACCGUCCGAGCUGAACUUGAUAGUAUGGAGUCUUCUUCGGAAGAAUCCAAUAGUGUGGGUAAUCAUACUCCCGAGAAAAUCCGCUAAGCUUAACCCAUGCGGCACCCGUACCGCAAACGGACACACGUGGUCGGGUAGAACAUACUGAGGCGUUGAGAGAUUCAUGGUUAAGGAACUAGGCAAAUUGACCCUGUAACUUCGGGAUAAAGGGUCCUCGUGAAUAGCGAGGCGCAGAGAAUAGGUCCAGGCAACUGUUUAACAAAAACACAGGGCUGUGCAAACUCGAAAGAUGACGUAUACAGCCUGACACCUGCCCGGUGCCGGAAGGUUAAGAGGAGAUGUCACUAGCAAUAGGAAGCAUUGAAUUGAAGCCCCGGUAAACGGCGGCCGUAACAAUAACGGUCCUAAGGUAGCGAAAUUCCUUGUCGGGUAAGUUCCGACCUGCACGAAUGGUGUAAUGAUCCGGACGCUGUCUCAACCAUGAGCUCAGUGAAAUUGUAGUAUCGGUGAAGAUGCCGAUUACCCGCGAUGGGACGAAAAGACCCCGUGAACCUUUACUACAGCUUAGCAUUGACCUUGGUCAUCCGAUGUGUAGGAUAGGCCGGAGGCUUCGAAGCGGGAGCGCCAGCUUUCGUGGAGCCAUCCCUGAAAUACGGCCCUUUGGCUGUCUGAGGUCUAACGCGUGAAACGCGGACACUGCUUGGUGGGUAGUUUGACUGGGGUGGUCGCCUCCAAAAGCGUAACGGAGGCUUCCAAAGGUGCCCUCGGGUCGAUUGGUAACCGACCUCAAAGAGUGCAAUGGCAUAAGGGCGCUUGACUGGGAGGCAGACAUGCCGAGCAGGCAGGAAACUGGGGCAUAGUGAUCCGGCGGAUGUGUAUGGAAACUCCGUCGCUCAAAGGAUAAAAGGUACUCCGGGGAUAACAGGCUGAUCCCCCCCAAGAGCUCAUAUCGACGGGGUGGUUUGGCACCUCGAUGUCGGCUCGUCACAUCCUGGGGCUGGAGAAGGUCCCAAGGGUUGGGCUGUUCGCCCAUUAAAGUGGCACGCGAGCUGGGUUCAGAACGUCGUGAGACAGUUCGGUCUCUAUCUAUCGUGGGCGUGGGAGUUUUGAGUGGUGCCGUCACUAGUACGAGAGGACCGUGAUGGACAGACCUCCGGUUUACCAGUUGUGCCGCCAGGCGCACCGCUGGGUAUCUGAGUCUGGAUUGGAUAAGCGCUGAAAGCAUCUAAGUGCGAAGCCAGCCGCAAGAUGAGAACUCCAUUGAGGGUCGUCAGAGACAUGACGUUGAUAGGAUGCAGGUGUAAAGACAGCGAUGUCAAAGCCGAGCAUUACUAAUUGCCCU